rnacentral:rRNA from 1 species
AGAUUGAACGCUGGCGGCAUGCUUUACACAUGCAAGUCGUGCGGCAGCGCGGGGGCAACCCUGGCGGCGAGCGGCGAACGGGUGAGGAAUACAUCGGAACGUACCCCGGAGUGGGGGAUAACCCAGCGAAAGUUGGACUAAUACCGCAUAUGCUCUGAGGAGGAAAGCGAGGGGACUUCGCAAGAGGCCUUGCGCUCGUGGGAGCGGCCGAUGUCCGAUUUAGCUAGUUGGG